rnacentral:rRNA from 1 species
ACGCCUAACACAUGCAAGUCGAACGCAGUAGCAAUACUGAGUGGCAAACGGGUGAGUAUAAUGUGGGAAUCUGCCUUUUGGUUCGGAAUAACACGGGGAAACUUGUGCUAAUACCGAAUAAGCCUUUACAGGGAAAGUUUUAAUGCCGAAAGAUGAGCCCGCACUUGAUUAGCUAGUUGGUAAGGUAAAAGCUUACCAAGGCAAUGAUCAAUAGCUGUUCUUAGAGGAAGACCAGCCACAUUGGGACUGAGACACGGCCCAGACUCCUACGGGAGGCAGCAGUGGGGAAUCUUGCACAAUGGGGGAAACCCUGAUGCAGCGAUGCCGCGUGAGUGAAGAAGGCCUUUGGGUUGUAAAACUCUUUCGUCGGGGAAGAAAAUGACUGUACCCGAAUAAGAAGGUCCGGCUAACUUCGUGCCAGCAGCCGCGGUAAUACGAAGGGACCUAGCGUAGUUCGGAAUUACUGGGCUUAAAGAGCUCGUAGGUGGUUAAAAAAGUUGAUGGUGAAAUCCCAAGGCUUAACCUUGGAACUGCCAUCAAAACUUUUUAGCUAGAGUGUGAUAGAGGUAAGUGGAAUUUCUAGUGUAGAGGUGAAAUUCGUAGAUAUUAGAAAGAACACCAAAUGCGAAGGCAACUUACUGGGUCACUACUGACACUGAGGAGCGAAAGCAUGGGUAGCGAAGAGGAUUAGAUACCCUCGUAGUCCAUGCCGUAAACGAUGUGUGCUAGACGUUGGAAAUAUAUUUUUCAGUGUCGCAGCGAAAGCAUUAAGCACACCGCCUGGGGAGUACGAC